rnacentral:rRNA from 1 species
UGAGGAAUAUUGGUCAAUGGGCGAGAGCCUGAACCAGCCAAGUCGCGUGAAGGAAGACUGCCUUAUGGGUUGUAAACUUCUUUUAUACAGGAAUAAAAAGGCUUACGUGUAGGCCAUUGCAAGUACUGUAUGAAUAAGCAUCGGCUAACUCCGUGCCAGCAGCCGCGGUAAUACGGAGGAUGCGAGCGUUAUCCGGAUUUAUUGGGUUUAAAGGGUGCGCAGGCGGGCUUUUAAGUCAGCGGUGAAAUCUGGACGCUUAACGUCCAAACUGCCGUUGAAACUGGGAGUCUUGAGUAUGGAUGAAGUAGGCGGAAUUCGUUGUGUAGCGGUGACAUGCAUAGAUAUAACGAGGAACUCCGAUUGCGUAGGCAGCUUACUAAGCCAUAACUGACGCUCAUGCACGAAAGCGUGGGGAUCAAACAGGAUUAGAUACCCUGGUAGUCCACGCCGUAAACGAUGAUUACUAGUUGUAUGCGAUAUGAUAGUAUGUGACUAAGCGAAAGCGAUAAGUAAUCCACCUGGGGAGUACGCCGGCAACGGUGAAACUCAAAGGAAUUGAC